UACGGAGGGGGCUAGCGUUGUUCGGAAUUACUGGGCGUAAAGCGCACGUAGGCGGCUUUGCAAGUUAGAGGUGAAAGCCCGGGGCCCAACUCCGGAAUUGCCUUUAAAACUGCAUCGCUAGAAUUGUGGAGAGGUAAGUGGAAUUCCGAGUGCAGAGGUGAAAUUCGUAGAUAUUCGGAAGGAACACCAGUGGCGAAGGCGGCCGCCUGGGCAGUAACUGACGCUGAUGCGCGAGAGCGUGGGGAGCAAACAGG
rnacentral:rRNA from 1 species